rnacentral:rRNA from 1 species
CGUACACUCCUACGGGAGGCAGCAGUGGGGAAUAUUGGACAAUGGGCGCAAGCCUGAUCCAGCCAUGCCGCGUGAGUGAUGAAGGCCCUAGGGUUGUAAAGCUCUUUCACCGGUGAAGAUAAUGACGGUAACCGGAGAAGAAGCCCCGGCUAACUUCGUGCCAGCAGCCGCGGUAAUACGAAGGGGGCUAGCGUUGUUCGGAUUUACUGGGCGUAAAGCGCACGUAGGCGGACUAUUAAGUCAGGGGUGAAAUCCCGGGGCUCAACCCCGGAACUGCCUUUGAUACUGGUAGUCUUGAGUUCGAGAGAGGUGAGUGGAAUUCCGAGUGUAGAGGUGAAAUUCGUAGAUAUUCGGAGGAACACCAGUGGCGAAGGCGGCUCACUGGCUCGAUACUGACGCUGAGGUGCGAAAGCGUGGGGAGCAAACAGGAUUAGAUACCCUAGUAGUCCCAUGAU